rnacentral:rRNA from 1 species
CCUACGGGUGGCAGCAGUGAGGAAUAUUGGUCAAUGGGCGGGAGCCUGAACCAGCCAAGUCGCGUGAGGGACGACGGUCCUAUGGAUUGUAAACCUCUUUUGUCGGGGAACAAAGGCGCCCACGGGUGGGCGGAUGAGUGUACCCGAAGAAAAAGCAUCGGCUAACUCCGUGCCAGCCGCCGCGGUAAUACGGAGGAUGCGGGCGUUAUCCGGAUUUAUUGGUUUAAAAGGGUGCGUAGGCGGACAGUAAAGUAAGUGGUAAAAAUGCGGUGCUAAACGCCGCACAGCCGUUGAAACUGGCAGUCUUGAGUAGGGGAGAAGUAGGCGGAAUGCGUGGUGUAGCGGUGAAAUGCAUAGAUAUCACGCAGAACUCCGAUUGCGAAGGCAGCAUACCGGCGCCCGACUGACGCUGAGGCACGAAAGCGUGGGUAUCGAACAGGAUUAGAUACCCCGGUAGUC